UUUGCGAGGGGCCUCGGGGUGCCAAAAAUAAGCCGCGGGCAAAGCCGCGCCCAAAAAUAAGCGCCCGAAGGUCGUGGUGCCAAAACCCCCCAGCGGAAAAAUGGCCAAAAAACGGGUGGGCUAUAGCCUUGGUGGGGGGCGCGGGCGAAGUUCGUCCGCCGGACUCGGAAUGGGGCGAGACUUUGCGAGGGGCCUCGGGGUGCCAAAAAUAAGCCGCGGGCAAAGCCGCGCCCAAAAAUAAGCGCCCGAAGGUCGUGGUGCCAAAACCCCCCAGCGGAAAUGGCCAAAAACGGGUGGGCUAUAGCCUUGGUGGGGGGCGCGGGCGAAGUUCGUCCGCCGGACUCGGAAUGCGGCGAGACUUUGCGAGGGGCCUCGGGGUGCCAAAAAUAAGCCGCGGGCAAAGCCGCGCCCAAAAAUAAGCGCCCGAAGGUCGUGGUGCCAAAACCCACCAGCGGAAAAAUGGCCAAAAAACGGGUGGGCUAUAGCCUUGGUGGGGGGCGCGGGCGAAGUUCGUCCGCCGGACUCGGAUUGGGGCGAGACUUUGCGAGGGGCCUCGGGGUGCCAAAAAUAAGCCGCGGGCAAAGCCGCGCCCAAACAUAAGCGCCCGAAGGUCGUGGUGCCAAAACCCCCGAGCGGAAAAAUGGCCAAAAAACGGGUGGGCUAUAGCCUUGGUGGGGGGCGCGGGCGACGUUCGUCCGCCGGACUCGGAAUGCGGCGAGACUUUGCGAGGGGCCUCGGGGUGCCAAAAAUAAGCCGCGGGCAAAGCCGCGCCCAGAAAUAAGCGCCCGAAGGUCGUGGUGCCAAAACCCCCCAGCGGAAAAAUGGCCAAAAAACGGGUGGGCUAUAGCCUUGGUGGGGGGCGCGGGCGAAGUUCGUCCGCCGGACUCGGAAUGCGGCGAGACUUUGCGAGGGGCCUCGGGGUGCCAAAAAUAAGCCGCGGGCAAAGCCGCGCCCACAAAUAAGCGCCCGAAGGUCGUGGUGCCAAAACGCCCCAGCGGAAAAAUGGCCAAAAAACGGGUCGUGGUUCAAAAAUAUAAUCAAAACGUGAGAAAAACGCAAAAUUGUGGGUUGAGAAAGCCCACCAAGCUCCUUGGUGGCGAGCUUCCCUCGAGCAUGGGCAGCCUUUUACCACUUCUUCUAAGUUUUCAAAGUUCCGGUUUCUCCAUUUUCAUUUUUUUGAAGCCAAAACAUAGUUUCCCAUGUUCGCCAUCCCAUGUUCUGCAUCCGCGCAAAAAAUCUAGGCUUUCCAAACAAGUCCGACGCUUAUCAUCUCAGUCCAUCUCCCCAUGCUCUGUGUCGGUGCAAAAAAUCUAACCCAAAAAAACUCGAUUGCUUAUCCCCUACCCGUUGCCCUUUCCCGCAGUUCAUUAGGGGCUACCUGCGCGGGAAGUUGCCUUAAUAUUUGAAAAUAAGAUACAAAGAUUUAGCUGCAGCUUGAACCCUUUACAUGGUGGUCAAAAUCACAAAUAAAGUUUCAAACCCACCGUUGAGCCACCAUGAAUUCUUGUAACUAUUUGCACAAAUAUUAUUUAAAUCGAAAAGUAAAAUAUAAAUUAAUAAUAAAACAAAUAAUUAAUGAUUUCACAUCGUAAAUGGAUAUUUAAGUUGUUGUUUUCUGUGGUCGAAUCAAAAUUAAAACGUCUUAGGGUAAAAAAACCCCCGAGCGGAAAAAUGGCCAAAAAACGGGUGGGCUAUAGCCUUGGUGGGGGGCGCGGGCGACGUUCGUCCGCCGGACUCGGAAUGCGGCGGACUUUGCGAGGGGCCUCGGGGUGCCAAAAAUAAGCCGCGGGCAAAGCCGCGCCCAAACAUAAGCGCCCGAAGGUCGUGGUGCCAAAACCCCCGAGCGGAAAAAUGGCCAAAAAACGGGUGGGCUAUAGCCUUGGUGGGGGGCGCGGGCGACGUUCGUCCGCCGGACUCGGAAUGCGGCGAGACUUUGCGAGGGGCCUCGGGGUGCCAAAAAUAAGCCGCGGGCAAAGCCGCGCCCAGAAAUAAGCGCCCGAAGGACGUGGUGCCAAAACCCCCCAGCGGAAAAUGGCCAAAAAACGGGUGGGCUAUAGCCUUGGUGGGGGGCGCGGGCGAAGUUCGUCCGCCGGACUCGGAAUGCGGCGAGACUUUGCGAGGGGCCUCGGGGUGCCAAAAAUAAGCCGCGGGCAAAGCCGCGCCAAAAAAUAAGCGCCCGAAGGUCGUGGUGCCAAAACCCCCCAGCGGAAAAAUGGCCAAAAAACGGGUGGGCUAUAGCCUUGGUGGGGGGCGCGGGCGAAGUUCGUCCGCCGGAUUCGGAAUGCGGCGAGACUUUGCGAGGGGCCUCGGGGUGCCAAAAAUAAGCCGCGGGCAAAGCCGCGCCCAAAAAUAAGCGCCCGAAGGUCGUGGUGCCAAAACCCCCCAGCGGAAAAAUGGCCAAAAAACGGGUGGGCUAUAGCCUUGGUGGGGGGCGCGGGCGACGUUCGUCCGCCGGACUCGGAAUGCGGCGAGACUUUGCGAGGGGCCUCGGGGUGCCAAAAAUAAGCCGCGGGCAAAGCCGCGCCCAAAAAUAAGCGCCCGAAGGUCGUGGUGCCAAAACCCCCCAGCGGAAAAAUGGCCAAAAAACGGGUGGGCUAUAGCCUUGGUGGGGGGCGCGGGCGAAGUUCGUCCGCCGGACUCGGAAUGCGGCGAGACUUUGCGAGGGGCCUCCGGGUGCCAAAAAUAAGCCGCGGGCAAAGCAGCGCCCAAAAAUAAGUGCCCGAAGGUCGUGGUGCCAAAACCCCCCAGCGGAAAAAUGGACAAAAAACGGGUGGGCUAUAGCCUUGGUGGGGGGCGCGGGCGAAGUUCGUCCGCCGGACUCGGAAUGCGGCGAGACUUUGCGAGGGGCCUCGGGGUGCCAAAAAUAAGCCGCGGACAAAGCCGCGCCCAGAAAUAAGCGCCCGAAGGUCGUGGUGCCAAAACCCCCCAGCGGAAAAAUGGCCAAAAAACGGGUGGGCUAUAGCCUUGGUGGGGGGCGCGGGCGAAGUUCGUCCGCCGGACUCGGAAUGGGGCGAGACUUUGCGAGGGGCCUCGGGGUGCCAAAAAUAAGCCGCGGGCAAAGCCGCGCCCAAACAUAAGCGCCCGAAGGUCGUGGUGCCAAAACCCCCCAGCGGAAAAAAGGCCAAAAAACGGGUGGGCUAUAGCCUUGGUGGGGGGCGCGGGCGACGUUCGUCCGCCGGACUCGGAAUGCGGCGAGACUUUGCGAGGGGCCUCGGGGUGCCAAAAAUAAGCCGCGGACAAAGCCGCGCCCAGAAAUAAGCGCCCGAAGGUCGUGGUGCCAAAACCCCCCAGCGGAAAAAUGGCCAAAAAACGGGUGGGCUAUAGCCUUGGUGGGGGGCGCGGGCGAAGUUCGUCCGCCGGACUCGGAAUGGGGCGAGACUUUGCGAGGGGCCUCGGGGUGCCAAAAAUAAGCCGCGGGCAAAGCCGCGCCCAAACAUAAGCGCCCGAAGGUCGUGGUGCCAAAACCCCCCAGCGGAAAAAAGGCCAAAAAACGGGUGGGCUAUAGCCUUGGUGGGGGGCGCGGGCGACGUUCGUCCGCCGGACUCGGAAUGCGGCGAGACUUUGCGAGGGGCCUCGGGGUGCCAAAAAUAAGCCGCGGGCAAAGCCGCGCCCAGAAAUAAGCGCCCGAAGGUCGUGGUGCCAAAACCCCCCAGCGGAAAAAUGGCCAAAAAACGGGUGGGCUAUAGCCUUGGUGGGGGGCGCGGGCGAAGUUCGUCCGCCGGACUCGGAAUGGGGCGAGACUUUGCGAGGGGCCUCGGGGUGCCAAAAAUAAGCCGCGGGCAAAGCCGCGCCCAGAAAUAAGCGCCCGAAGGUCGUGGUGCCAAAACCCCCCAGCGGAAAAAUGGCCAAAAAACGGGUGGGCUAUAGCCUUGGUGGGGGGCGCGGGCGAAGUUCGUCCGCCGGACUCGGAAUGCGGCGAGACUUUGCGAGGGGCCUCGGGGUGCCAAAAAUAAGCCGCGGGCAAAGCCGCGCCCAGAAAUAAGCGCCCGAAGGUCGUGGUGCCAAAACCCCCCAGCGGAAAAAUGGCCAAAAAACGGGUGGGCUAUAGCCUUGGUGGGGGGCGCGGGCGAAGUUCGUCCGCCGGACUCGGAAUGGGGCGAGACUUUGCGAGGGGCCUCGGGGUGCCAAAAAUAAGCCGCGGGCAAAGCCGCGCCCAGAAAUAAGCGCCCGAAGGUCGUGGUGCCAAAACCCCCCAGCGGAAAAAUGGCCAAAAAACGGGUGGGCUAUAGCCUUGGUGGGGGGCGCGGGCGAAGUUCGUCCGCCGGACUCGGAAUGCGGCGAGACUUUGCGAGGGGCCUCGGGGUGCCAAAAAUAAGCCGCGGCCAAAGCCGCGCCCAGAAAUAAGCGCCCGAAGGUCGUGGUGCCAAAACCCCCCAGCGGAAAAAUGGCCAAAAAACGGGUGGGCUAUAGCCUUGGUGGGGGGCGCGGGCGACGUUCGUCCGCCGGACUCGGAAUGCGGCGAGACUUUGCGAGGGGCCUCGGGGUGCCAAAAAUAAGCCGCGGGCAAAGCCGCGCCCAAAAAUAAGCGCCCGAAGGUC
rnacentral:lncRNA from 1 species